rnacentral:rRNA from 1 species
AGUGUAGGCGGCUUCUUAAGUCGGAUGUGAAAUCCCCGGGCUCAACCUGGGAAUUGCAUUCGAUACUGGGUAGCUAGAGUUUGGUAGAGGUAAGUGGAAUUCCGGGUGUAGCGGUGAAAUGCGUAGAUAUCCGGAGGAACAUCAGUGGCGAAGGCGGCUUACUGGACCAAAACUGACGCUGAGGCUCGAAAGCGUGGGGAGCAAACAGGAUUAGAUACCCUGGUAGUCC